GAGGUCUUAGCUUAAUGAAAGUGUCCGGGUUGCAUUCGGGUGAUGCACAAUAGAGUUGUGCAGGCCUU
rnacentral:tRNA from 1 species